rnacentral:rRNA from 1 species
AACGGCGAGUGAAGCGGCAAGAGCUCAAAUUUGAAAUCUGGCGCCCCGCCGGCGUCCGAGUUGUAAUUUGGAGAGGCAUCUUCAGGAGGGGGCCCGGCCUAUGUUCCUUGGAACAGGGCGUCGCAGAGGGUGAGAAUCCCGUUCUUGGCCGGACAGCCCCUCCGGUGUGCAGUGUCUUCUACGAGUCGAGUUGUUUGGGAAUGCAGCUCAAAAUGGGUGGUAAAUUUCAUCUAAAGCUAAAUAUGGGCGAGAGACCGAUAGCGCACAAGUAGAGUGAUCGAAAGAUGAAAAGCACUUUGAAAAUAGAGUCAAACAGCACGUGAAAUUGUUGAAAGGGAAGCGCUUGAGACCAGACUCGGCCAUGGACUAACAGCUGUCCCUCCUGGGCGGUGCACUUGUCCUUGGCCGGGCCAGCAUCGGUUGGGACGGCGGGACAAAGGCUGGGGGAAUGUGACUCCCUCGAGGAGUGUUAUAGCCCCCGGCGCCAUGCCGCCCGCCCCGACCGAGGACCGCGCUUCGGCUAGGAUGCUGGCGUAAUGGUCUUCAGCGGCCCGUCUUGAAACACGGACCAAGGAGUCUAACAUCUAUGCGAGUGUUUGGGCUUCAAACCCUAGCGCGUAAUGAAAGUGAACGGAGGUGGGAACCCCGCGAGGGGCGCACCAUCGACCGAUCCUGAUGUCCUCGGAUGGAUUUGAGUAGGAGCAUAGCUGUUGGGACCCGAAAGAUGGUGAACUAUGCCUGAAUAGGGUGAAGCCAGAGGAAACUCUGGUGGAGGCUCGCAGCGGUUCUGACGUGCAAAUCGAUCGUCAAAUUUGGGUAUAGGGG